rnacentral:rRNA from 1 species
UACGUAGGGUGCAAGCGUUAUCCGGAAUUAUUGGGCGUAAAGAGCUCGUAGGCGGUUUGUCGCGUCUGCUGUGAAAACUGGAGGCUCAACCUCCAGCCUGCAGUGGGUACGGGCAAACUAGAGUGCGGUAGGGGGAGAUUGGAAUUCCUGGUGUAGCGGUGGAAUGCGCAGAUAUCAGGAGGAACACCGUAGCGAAGGCGGACACUGUCGGCGAACUACUCUGAGGAGCGAAAGCGUGGGGAGCGAACAGG